CAGUCGCCACGGGAAUACGUAGGUGGCAAGCGUUGUCCGGAAUUAUUGGGCGUAAAGGGCUCGCAGGCGGUUUCUUAAGUCUGAUGUGAAAGCCCCCGGCUCAACCGGGGAGGGUCAUUGGAAACUGGGAAACUUGAGUGCAGAAGAGGAGAGUGGAAUUCACGUGUAGCGGUGAAAUGCGUAGAGAUGUGGAGGAACACCAGUGGCGAAGGCGACUCUCUGGUCUGUAACUGACGCUGAGGAGCGAAAGCGUGGUGAGCGAACAGGAUUAGAGACCCGCGUAGUCCCUGUCUCUUAUACA
rnacentral:rRNA from 1 species